AUUGAACGCUGGCGGCAUGCCUUACACAUGCAAGUCGAACGGUAACAGGUCUUCGGAUGCUGCCGAGUGGCGCACGGGUGAGUAAUACAUCGGAACGUGCCCAGACGUGGGGGAUAACGAGGCGAAAGCUUUGCUAAUACCGCAUACGAUCUAAGGCUGAAAGCAGGGGACCGCAAGGCCUUGUGCGUUUGGAGCGGCCGAUGGCAGAUUAGGUAGUUGGUGGGAUAAAAGCUUACCAAGCCGACGAUCUGUAGCUGGUCUGAGAGGACGACCAGCCACACUGGGACUGAGACACGGCCCAGACUCCUACGGGAGGCAGCAGUGGGGAAUUUUGGACAAUGGGCGAAAGCCUGAUCCAGCAAUGCCGCGUGCAGGAUGAAGGCCUUCGGGUUGUAAACUGCUUUUGUACGGAACGAAAAGGAUCUGGCUAAUACCUGGGGCACAUGACGGUACCGUAAGAAUAAGCACCGGCUAACUACGUG
rnacentral:rRNA from 1 species